rnacentral:rRNA from 1 species
GACGAACGCUGGCGGCGUGCCUAAUACAUGCAAGUAGGACGCAGUUGCGAACGGGUGAGUAACGCGUAGGUAACUGCCUAGUAGAGGGGGAUAACUAUUGGAAACGAUAGCUAAUACCGCAUACUAGUAGAUGGACCUGCGUUGUAUUAGCUAGUAGGUAGGGUAAUGGGCUACCUAGGCGACGAUACAUAGCCGAGCUGAGAGGGUGAUCGGCCCAACUGGGAAUGGGACACGGGCCAGACUCCCACGGGAGGCAACAAGAGGGAAACUUCGGAAAAUGGGCGAAACCUGAACGAGCAACGCCGCGGGAGUGAAGAAGGUUUUCGGAUCGUAAAGGUCUGUUGUUAAGGAAGCGGUACUUAACCAGAAAGGAACGGCUAACUACGUGCCAGCAGCCGCGGUAAUAC